CAAACAUUCCUAGGAAAUGGGCUGACAUGAGGAAGGGAUCCUGUGGAGAGACUCAGAGUCGUUGACCUAGUAAGCAGCUUGUGAGAAGUUCCAGACCGGCUGAGGGCAUGUUGUUGGGUAACUGUUUGGGAAAAACAGUCUGUAAAGUUGACAAGCACCAUUAAACCUCCAGCCAUAUGUCUGGCUGCCCCUUUCAAAAGGCUGUCGUGCAUUUGUUGUGGCUUGGGAAUUAGAGAAUGAAAUUGGACAGUUCCUUAAAAAG